ensembl:lncRNA
GGAGGGGGGGGAACCAAGAACUCUGUGCCAUUUCGAGUCACCCGCUCAUGUGAGGAAUGUCCGUCCGCGGCGCGCACAGAUCAUGUACUCCGCGCUUUAUUUUUAACGCGCAGGGUGGGUCACACGCUUUGGGAAUGACCGUAGUAUGCGCGGCACCGACAGCCCCCCGUCCCAGGACCCCUUUCCAGGACCCUCUCCUCCGCGACUCUGACCGGGAACAUUGUGCUUCAAUGGGAUUGUAUUUUAAUUGGUUUAUUGGCAGGGAGAAGAUUUAACGUAAACGCCUUCGACCCACAGACAGCAUCCAGAGCCGAUCCACCAGAGGGGGCGCUGACGGCCCCGCCGUGGUCCUGUGUACUACAUGCGGUGAUCUCUGUCACGUCCCACGUCUAACUGACGCCGCCACAGGACAGUGACACGCCCGCACAACGCACACACAACGCGCACACAACGCGCACACAACGCGCGCACAACGCACGCACAAUGCGCACACAACGCGCACACACACAGGGGCUUUCUCUGGUUUGAAACCUCGUGAGUUAGAAGAAGGGAGGGUGGGGGGAGGAGUUAGUGGCGCUUCCGUCAUGUUCCGUGGUAGCGAGGGGGGCUACCCCCUCCCCGCGCGCGGCCGCGUGAUAACAGGGGUGUGUUGAGGCUAGAUAGAGCUAUCUCACUGGCUAACGUAAGCCUGCCAUUACGCACAGACAAACACUCACAUGACCAGGGGCCUGACAAAAUGGAGCCUCGACGAAUACCAACCGACGAAUGAGGCCCCUUUACUGGCCUCGACGUGUUUCUGAUUAAUUCAUUUUAGAAAUCUGACCGCGUUUUAUCCGUCAGUCGGAUAGCAACAGGGUUAUCUGGAAGGCAGGGGCAAUCUGUACUGGAACAAACACAGAGUUAAUCUCCCUCUGCUGUCGGUUGUCAUACGGUGAUGCCCCCGCCGUGUCCCGUCCUUGUCUGAAGGUCGACAGCAGGAGGAGAACCGAAGCCAACAAAGCCGAUCGCUAAAGCUGCUCCUUUGUUUUGAUUCUCCUCCCACUGCGAGGGAAGGGAGGGAGCUCUGUAAAUCACAUUUCAUUCUAUGAUUAUGAAGGAACCGUAUAUAUCUGCCACCGAUGUUGAAGGCCAAUAUCGACCAAAAUGCGUAUUAUCGCUGACGACAGACACAAAUAAAGUUAGAAGUGUCUGAGUUUAUACACAAGAACCUCAGCUGCUUUAUGAUGUUGUCAUGAUAUCCCAAAAAAUUAUCGGUGUUGUGAUUGGCUGAUAGUAGCUUACCUUACGGAUAUUCUCAUCGACGUCAAAGACAUUCCAUCGUCCCAGGUCCCACCUCCCUAACAUCUGUGUUCUGUUCUCUGCUCCAUCAG